rnacentral:rRNA from 1 species
UACGUAGGGGGCUAGCGUUGUCCGGAAUCAUUGGGCGUAAAGCGCGUGUAGGCGGCCCGAUAAGUCCGCUGUGAAAGUCGGGGGCUCAACCCUCGGAUGCCGGUGGAUACUGUCGGGCUCGAGUGCGGAAGAGGCGAGUGGAAUUCCUGGUGUAGCGGUGAAAUGCGCAGAUAUCAGGAGGAACACCAAUUGCGAAGGCAGCUCGCUGGGACGUUACUGACGCUGAGACGCGAAAGCGUGGGGAGCAAACAGG